UACAGAGGUCUCAAGCGUUGUUCGGAUUCAUUGGGCGUAAAGGGCGCGUAGGCGGCGGGGUAAGUCGGGGUGUGAAAUCUCAGAGCUCAACUCUGAAAUGGCACUUGAUACUGCUCUGCUAGAGGACUGGAGAGGAGAUUGGAAUUCACGGUGUAGCAGUGAAAUGCGUAGAUAUCGUGAGGAAGACCGGUGGCGAAGGCGGAUCUCUGGACAGUUCCUGACGCUGAGGCGCGAAGGCCAGGGGAGCAAACGGG
rnacentral:rRNA from 1 species